GGUCGGAUGGCGCAAUGGUAGCGCGUUACUUUCCGGUUUGGCGCAGACAAUCCCCGCACAUUCAAUUGUGCAAUGUCUGUGUUCUCCUGCUGGUAAAGGUUCUGGGUUCGAGUCCCAGUCUGAUCG
rnacentral:tRNA from 1 species